rnacentral:rRNA from 1 species
GACGAACGCUGGCGGCGUGCUUAACACAUGCAAGUCGAACGCGCCUGUCCUCUGGGUUUCUGGGGGGUGGGUGAGUGGCGAACGGGUGAGUAACACGUGAGUAACCUGCCCCCUUCUUCGGGAUAACGGUCUGAAAGGGCUGCUAAUACCGGGUAUUCACUGGUCUCCGCAUGGGGUCUGGUGGAAAGGUUUUUUUCUGGUGGGGGAUGGGCUCGCGGCCUAUCAGCUUGUUGGUGGGGUGAUGGCCCACCAAGGCUUUGACGGGUAGCCGGCCUGAGAGGGUGACCGGUCACAUUGGGACUGAGAUACGGCCCAGACUCCUACGGGAGGCAGCAGUGGGGAAUAUUGCACAAUGGGCGCAAGCCUGAUGCAGCGACGCCGCGUGAGGGAUGGAGGCCUUCGGGUUGUGAACCUCUUUCGCCCGUGGUCAAGCCGCGACGUGGGUCGUGGUGAGGGUAGUGGGUAAAGAAGCGCCGGCUAACUACG